GGGGAUUUAGCUCAGUGUUGGCUGGCACCUGCUUCGAAAGCACAAGGACCUAAGUUCAAACCCUGGUAUCCCCC
rnacentral:tRNA from 1 species